rnacentral:rRNA from 1 species
AAUGCGCAGAUUUCAGGAGGAACACCGGUGGCGAAGGCGGGUCUCUGGGCCGAUACUGACCUGAGGAGCGAAAGCCUGGGGAGCGAACAGGAUUAGAUACCCUGGUAGUCCACGCUGUAAACGUUGGGCGCUAGGUGUGGGGGGCCUCUCCGGUUCUCUGUGCCGCAGCUAACGCAUUAAGCGCCCCGCCUGGGGAGUACGGCCGCAAGGCUAAAACUCAAAGGAAUUGACGGGGGCCCGCACAAGCGGCGGAGCAUGCGGAUUAAUUCGAUGCAACGCGAAGAACCUUACCUGGGUUUGACAUGGGCGCUAAAACCGCAGAGAUGGGGUGUCCUUCGGGGGCGGUCACAGGUGGCGCA